rnacentral:rRNA from 1 species
AUGAGCAAGAGAGGCAGGGGCGUGUGGGACAUGGAGCUGGGCAGCCUCGACACGACCCGCCUGCUAAUGCUCCUCGCCCAGCAGCACCAGCACCAGCACCACCACCGCGGCGUCGCCGAGGCGGCGCAGGCGAUGACCGGCGGCCGCGUGUUCCAGUGCAAGACGUGCAACCGGCAGUUCCCCACGUUCCAGGCGCUCGGGGGACACCGCGCCAGCCACAAGCGCCCCAGGCUCCACCACCCACCCCCGCAGCACGCGCUCGUCGGCGUCGACGACGACGCAGCGCUCUGCCUCGGCCGCCGGGCGCCCCAGGCGCCGCCGCAGCCGGCCAGGCCGAGGGUGCACGAGUGCCCCAUCUGCGGGCUCGAGUUCGCCGUCGGCCAGGCGUUGGGUGGGCACAUGCGCCGGCACCGCGUCGAAGCCGAGGCCGAGGCCGGGGCCAACGCCCCGAGCAGCAAGGCGGCGGCGGCGACCGAGAUGGUGGUGGCUUCGUGCGACGACGCCGGGAUCUGCCUGGACCUGAACCUGACGCCUUCGGAGAACUGCGCCAAAUGCAAGAGCGCGGCGGUGCUCCGUGCCGCUACUGGGCAGGGUGUACAUAAGGCGCUGGGCGGGCACAUGUCCCGGUACUGCGCCGAGGGCGAGACCGAGGCCCACGCGACGAGCGCCAAGGAUUCCUGUGAUAUGUUUGGAAGAAGGCAAAGAUAUUUGCCCUUGUCACUAGAUCUUUGUGGCAGAUUGGAAGAUACUGAUAUAUCCGUUUCAAUUUGUUGA